rnacentral:tRNA from 1 species
GCCUGGCUUGCUCAGUUGUUAAAGCAUGGGACUCUUAGUCCCAGGAUUGUGAGUUCAAGCCCCGUGCUGGGUG